GUGGGGAAUCUUCCGCAAUGGACGAAAGUCUGACGGAGCAACGCCGCGUGAGUGAUGAAGGUCUUCGGAUUGUAAAGCUCUGUUAAUCGGGACGAAAGAGCCUAGUGUGAAUAAUGCUAGGAAGUGACGGUACCGGAAUAGAAAGCCACGGCUAACUACGUGCCAGCAGCCGCGGUAAUACGUAGGUGGCAAGCGUUGUCCGGAAUUAUUGGGCGUAAAGCGCGCGCAGGCGGAUCUGGCAGUCUGUCUUAAAAGUUCGGGGCUUAACCCCGUGAUGGGAUGGAAACUACAGAUCUAGAGUAUCGGAGAGGAAAGUGGAAUUCCUAGUGUAGCGGUGAAAUGCGUAGAUAUUAGGAAGAACACCAGUGGCGAAGGCGACUUUCUGGACGAAAACUGACGCUGAGGCGCGAAAGCCAGGGGAGCGAACGGGAUUAGAAACCCUUGUAGUCC
rnacentral:rRNA from 1 species